GGAAUCUUCGGCAAUGGGGGCAACCCUGACCGAGCAACGCCGCGUGAGUGAAGAAGGUUUUCGGAUCGUAAAGCUCUGUUGUAAGAGAAGAACAUGUGUGAGAGUGGAAAGUUCACACAGUGACGGUAAUUUACCAGAAAGGGACGGCUAACUACGUGCCAG
rnacentral:rRNA from 1 species